rnacentral:tRNA from 1 species
CGGGGUGUAGCGCAGUGGUAGCGCGCAUCGUUCGGGUCGAUGAGGCCGGAGGUUCGAGUCCUCUCACCCCGACCA